rnacentral:rRNA from 1 species
GACGUAGGGCGCAAGCGUUGUCCGGAUUUAUUGGGCGUAAAGAGCUCGUAGGCGGCUCGUUGCGUCGGCUGUGAAAACCCACGGCUUAACCCCGAGCCUGCAGUGGAUACGGGCAGACUAGAGGUAGGUAGGGGAGAAUGGAAUUCCAGGUGUAGCGGUGAAAUGCGUAGAUAUCUGGAGGAACACCGGUGGCGAAGGCGGCAUCCUGGACCAACACUGACACUGAGGAGCGAAAGCCAGGGGAGCAAACGGG